AUGGCAAAAUAAUGCCUGCAGUUUUCUUCCACUAAUCUGAUGAAGAUAAUGUUGAAAGGUAAUUUUCUCGGUGUUAAGUGUCCUGUUACCGCUAUUGAACACAAAUUUCUGUUGGUAAGUCAUAAAUAAAAAAACCUAUCAAAGUAAGAUGAAUAGCAGUGGACUGUUUUUGCUAUUGAACCCAACCUUCUACCAGUAAGUUUACUCAUGAACAAGGUAAUCUAUGAAAGGUUGAUGAAUUGCAUGCAGGUACGUAUGCAGCCAAUAAUUUAUUUUUUUGUUAACAUAGUAAGAAUCAUCACCUCAUAAGAUCUAUAAUUAUUUUUCACACUGUUACAGCUGGUGCUGUGUGAUAUUCUAAUUUAUAACAAAGGCCUUUCAAUUUGUAAUCUUAUCACUAUUACAGAGAUUGGGAUGUAAAUGAAUGUUGAUUUAAAAUGGCUUUGGCUCUAUUCCCAAUCUAGUGUAUUAGUCACCAUUCAUUUUUUGUAGGAGGUUAUCUAUUCUGCGUUGGUACUGUGCUUUCAUUAACUGCAUGACAUCUUGAUAAUGUCUUGGUGGGUUGGCUGUUUGAGUUUGAUUGAUAUUAGAAUCAUUGCUUAGGAAGCAUUUCAAUCUGUCUUAUGACCAAGUCUUGGUAACAGUUGUAGGCCUUAUUUCUUUUAGUUCCUACAAUGUUCUUAUAUUUGGUGGAUUGAUUUGUGAAAACUGAUGUAGUCUGUUUUGCUUUGGAUUUCAGUACUGCUGGCUGUCCAUUUGGUGAGAGCUGCCAUUUUUUGCACUAUGUUCCAGGCGGCUACAAUGCUGUGGCCCAGAUGAUGAAUCUGGGGCCAGCUGUCACUCCAGUUUCUAGAAACCUGGCUGUCCCGUCGGUGGUUCCUAAUGGUUCUGCUUCAACUGCAGUUAAGAGGCGCUUGUGCAACAAAUAUAAUUCUUCUGAAGGUUGCAAGUUUGGUGACAAAUGCCAUUUUGCACAUGGUGAGUGGGAACUUGGCAAGCCCAUUGCUUCAUCGCAUGAGGAUGCUCGUGCCAUUGGAACUAUUCCAGGGCGUAUGGGUGGUCGGAUGGAACCCCCUUCACCUGGACUUGCUGCUAGUUUUGGUGCCUCAGCCACUGCAAAAAUCAGUGUGGAAGCUUCCCUUGCUGGAGCCAUCAUUGGUAAAGGUGGUGUGAAUUCCAAGCAGAUCUGUCGCCAAACAGGAGCCAAGUUAUCCAUUAGGGAACAUGAAACGGAUCCUAAUCUCAGGAACAUCGAAUUUGAGGGAUCAUUUGAACAGAUUAAGCAAGCUAGUGCCAUGGUUUCGGAGCUAAUUGCCAGUGUUAGUUCUGCAAAUGCCUCAGCAAAAACUACUGGAGUGCCCGGGGGCGGCCAUGCCCAUCCAGGAAGCAACUAUAAAACCAAGAUAUGUGAAAAUUUUAGCAAAGGAUCUUGCAGCUUUGGUCAAAGAUGCCACUUUGCUCAUGGGGCCGCUGAAUUGCGCAAGUCAGGCGUGUGAUGAGGCCAAUCAGUUUCGUAAAUGGUUCAUUGCACUUGCUGUUGUGCAAUCUUUGUAUUAAUGGGAGCUCUGGUUAAAGUGCUGGCUGUGCAAUGCUACCAAGUGACAGUGAUGAAACUGUGAUAACUUAGUUUUUGGGCUUAUUUUUUAUUUUAUUAGAUCCAUCAUAGCUCUAGUGACCCUUUUCUUCAUUCCUUCCGAAUUUAUUAGUGUUGUGCUUUGUCAGUUUGUUUAUGUUAGACACGGUUUUGUGUGCCUUGAGAAGAUAUUGUCCAAGUCGCAAGAAUCAUGCAAUUAGAACUUUUCUUGAUUGCAUAACACUCAUUGGAUGCAGCUUUUUUGAGUGAUCUCUUGGAUAUUAGCCAUGGAGAACCUGCAAACGAUAAACAGAGGUUAUGGUGAGAAGAGGUUCCUCGCUGUAUGAUAGAAGUGGAGUUGAACAUAUAAGGGGACUCGAUUCUUUUGUUAGAAGCCACUCGCUUGUUUGAGCAACUGUGUCUUCGGGAGGAGACUUGGCAUGAUCAAAGUUUAGUUGGUGGUGAUUGAUAUUAGGCGAGGACAAUGUUCCUGGAGAUUCUGAAGUCGGAUGUUUUGACCAAAUCAAGAGUUUUUAGUUCUGAUACUCGGUUUUUGAAAUUUUAGAUAUAAU
rnacentral:misc_RNA from 1 species